rnacentral:lncRNA from 1 species
GGAAGUUUGGGAGGGAGAGGAGGAAUCUGCCAGCAAAGGAUCCCCCGAUUGGCACAAUAAAAUAUGAAAACUUAUAGUCAGCAACAAAAUCAAUUAAAUAAAUAUCUUUCAUAAACAUGAUUUAAAAGUUAACUAUAAAUUUUACAAAAGUUUCUAAAAUGAAUAUAUAUAUAGUAUGUAUGCUUGUUUGAUCAUAAUUGUGUUUCCCUACUGCUAAGCUCUACAAAAGCUGGUGUCCUGAUUUCUGUGUUCACUUCUUUUCAACUUGUUCUGACUCAUAGUAGACACUCAACAAUUGCGUGAUUUUUGGAUAAUGUAUCUCAAACCAAGUGAUCAAGAGAUAUCUCCAAAAUAAAGUCAAAGAUCAGUGUUCUGCUAUUAGAAUGCACAGAAGGGAGUGACUCAAAGAGCCAGAAGCCAACCAGAAAAAUGAGUCCUGAGUUCUUUCCCGUCCAGCUUUCUGUGCCAGUGGUCCCAGGAGGACCUUGGUACUACUUGAAGGACUUCGCCAAGGACAGAAGAUUCUUUCUAUCUCAUAAAAAGCUGGAUGCCCCCAAAGGAGGACAGAAGGGUGACAAUCAGCUAAAAGAAAAGAGAAGCAGAUUAAAAUGA